UAGCUCAAAUAGUUUGCUAGAGAUCAGCUU
rnacentral:piRNA from 1 species